rnacentral:rRNA from 1 species
UACGUAGGGUGCGAGCGUUGUCCGGAAUUAUUGGGCGUAAAGGGCUCGUAGGCGGUUUGUCGCGUCGGGAGUGAAAUCCACUGGCUUAACUGGUGGCUUGCUUUCGAUACGGGCAGACUGGAGGUAUGCAGGGGAGAACGGAAUUCCUGGUGUAGCGGUGAAAUGCGCAGAUAUCUGGAGGAACACCGGUGGCGAAGGCGGCAUCCUGGACCGGUAUUGACGCUGAGGCGCGAAAGCUAGGGUAGCAAACGGG